rnacentral:rRNA from 1 species
UACGUAGGUGGCGAGCGUUGUCCGGAUUUACCGGGCGUAAAGCGCGCGCAGGCGGCAGUCUAAGUCCUCUGUGAAAUCACCCGGCUCAACUGGGUGGCUGCGGAGGAGACUGGGCAGCUUGAGGGGCCUAGAGGCCGGUGGAACUCCCGGUGUAGUGGUGAAAUGCGUAGAGAUCGGGAAGAACACCAGUGGCGAAGGCGGCCGGCUGGGGGAGCCCUGACGCUGAGGCGCGAGAGCGUGGGGAGCAAACCGG